AUGCCGCUGCUUGUCGAGGGGAGGCAAGUGCGGCUGCUGCAGUCCUCGCCCACGCUGCCGCGUCCGAGCCCACCUGCCUUUGGAGGAAAGAGCCAGACUUCUCAGAGGUCAGUCUGUUCAACAAGUGGGACCCCAGGGCCUUCUGUAUGUUCAGCAAAGAGAGCUUGCAGUGACCUCCCCGAAGAAUGGCUCCAUCUCCAUUCUGGGUUCUGAUGAUGCCACUACUUGUCACAUUGUGGUCCUGAGGCAAACAGGUAAUGGGGCCACCUGCUUGACACAUUGUGACGGAACCGACACCAAAGCCGAAUUCCCCUUGAUCAUGAACUCCAUAAAAUCCUUUUCCGACCACGUUCAGUGUGGAAGGCUGGACGUGUACCUCGUUGGAGGCUUCAGUGACAACAGACAGUUGUCACAAAAACUCACUCAUCAAAUUCUUAGUGAAUUUGACAGGCAAGAAGAUGACAUUCACUUAGUGACAUUAUGUGUGACAAUUAAAUGACCGGGAAGAAAACGAAAACCACUUUCCAAUAAUAUAUGGCAUUGCUGUCAACAUUAAGACUGCAGAGAUUUACAGAGCCUCCUUUCAAGAUCGGGGUCCGGAGGAGCAGCUGUGGGCUGCGCGAACUUUAGCAGGAGGACCAGUGAUUAGCAUUUACGAUGCAGAGACAGAACAACUUCAUAUAGGACCGUACUCCUGGACGCCAUUUCCACAUGUGGAUUUCUGGUUGCAGCAGGAUGACAAGCAAAUACUAGAGAAUCUUUCUACUUCGCCUCUGGCUGAGCCGCCCCACUUUGUUGAACAUAUUAGAUCUACCUUGAUGUUUUUUUAAAAAAUACCCAUCUCCAACUAACACACUGUUUCCUGGAAAUAAAGCCCUACUCUACAAAAAAAAUGAAUUACUAGGUCAAAAGAUAAGAAAUUAUUCAAAUGGAUUCUGUGUGCUACCAGGUUGCUGUGGUCUGAAUGUAUCCCCAGAAUUCAUAUGUUAGAAACAUCAUCUCAA